CUACGGGACGCUGCAGGUGCGAAAACUUUACAAUGCACGAAAGUGCGAUAAGGGAAUCUCAAGUGCUUUACUUUUUUGUAAAGCUUUUGUUAAGUGUAAACAGCUUAACGAAUAAGUGGUGGGUAAGACCGGUGCCAGCCGCCGCGGUAACACCGGCGCCACGAGUGGUGAUCACGUUUAUUGGGUCUAAAGGGUCCGUAGCUGGUCGGAUAAGUUUUUUGUGAAAUUGUUAGGCUUAACUUAACGAAUCGCAAGGAAAACUAUUCGACUAGGAACUGGGAGAAGGCAGAAGUACUUUGGGGGGAGUGGUAAAAUGCUAUAAUCCUCAAAGGACUACCUAUGGCAAAGGCAUCUGUCUAGAACGGGUUCGACAGUGAUGGACGAAAGCUAGGGGAGCGAUCCGGAUUAGAUACCCCCGUAGUC
rnacentral:rRNA from 1 species